rnacentral:rRNA from 1 species
GAUGAACGCUGGCGGCGUGCCUAAUACAUGCAAGUCGAGCGAACAGACGAGGAGCUUGCUCCUCUGACGUUAGCGGCGGACGGGUGAGUAACACGUGGAUAACCUACCUAUAAGACUGGGAUAACUUCGGGAAACCGGAGCUAAUACCGGAUAAUAUAUUGAACCGCAUGGUUCAAUAGUGAAAGACGGUUUUGCUGUCACUUAUAGAUGGAUCCGUGCCGCAUUAGCUAGUUGGUAAGGUAACGGCUUACCAAGGCAACGAUGCGUAGCCGACCUGAGAGGGUGAUCGGCCACACUGGAACUGAGACACGGUACAGACUCCUACGGGAGGCAGCAGUAGGGAAUCUUCCGCAAUGGGCGAAAGCCUGACGGAGCAACGCCGCGUGAGUGAUGAAGGUCUUCGGAUCGUAAAACUCUGUUAUUAGGGAAGAACAAAUGUGUAAGUAACUAUGCACGUCUUGACGGUACCUAAUCAGAAAGCCACGGCUAACUACGUG